UCCUGACUGACCGAUAGUGAACCAGUACCGUGAGGGAAAGGCGAAAAGAACCCCGGCGAGGGGAGUGAAAAAGAACCUGAAACCGUGUACGUACAAGCAGUGGGAGCACGCUUAGGCGUGUGACUGCGUACCUUUUGUAUAAUGGGUCAGCGACUUAUAUUCUGUAGCAAGGUUAACCGAAUAGGGGAGCCGAAGGGAAACCGAGUCUUAACUGGGCGUUAAGUUGCAGGGUAUAGACCCGAAACCCGGUGAUCUAGCCAUGGGCAGGUUGAAGGUUGGGUAACACUAACUGGAGGACCGAACCGACUAAUGUUGAAAAAUUAGCGGAUGACUUGUGGCUGGGGGUGAAAGGCCAAUCAAACCGGGAGAUAGCUGGUUCUCCCCGAAAGCUAUUUAGGUAGCGCCUCGUGAAUUCAUCUCCGGGGGUAGAGCACUGUUUCGGCAAGGGGGUCAUCCCGACUUACCAACCCGAUGCAAACUGCGAAUACCGGAGAAUGUUAUCACGGGAGACACACGGCGGGUGCUAACGUCCGUCGUGAAGAGGGAAACAACCCAGACCGCCAGCUAAGGUCCCAAAGUCAUGGUUAAGUGGGAAACGAUGUGGGAAGGCCCAGACAGCCAGGAUGUUGGCUUAGAAGCAGCCAUCAUUUAAAGAAAGCGUAAUAGCUCACUGGUCGAGUCGGCCUGCGCGGAAGAUGUAACGGGGCUAAACCAUGCACCGAAGCUGCGGCAGCGACGCUUAUGCGUUGUUGGGUAGGGGAGCGUUCUGUAAGCCUGCGAAGGUGUGCUGUGAGGCAUGCUGGAGGUAUCAGAAGUGCGAAUGCUGACAUAAGUAACGAUAAAGCGGGUGAAAAGCCCGCUCGCCGGAAGACCAAGGGUUCCUGUCCAACGUUAAUCGGGGCAGGGUGAGUCGACCCCUAAGGCGAGGCCGAAAGGCGUAGUCGAUGGGAAACAGGUUAAUAUUCCUGUACUUGGUGUUACUGCGAAGGGGGGACGGAGAAGGCUAUGUUGGCCGGGCGACGGUUGUCCCGGUUUAAGCGUGUAGGCUGGUUUUCCAGGCAAAUCCGGAAAAUCAAGGCUGAGGCGUGAUGACGAGGCACUACGGUGCUGAAGCAACAAAUGCCCUGCUUCCAGGAAAAGCCUCUAAGCAUCAGGUAACAUCAAAUCGUACCCCAAACCGACACAGGUGGUCAGGUAGAGAAUACCAAGGCGCUUGAGAGAACUCGGGUGAAGGAACUAGGCAAAAUGGUGCCGUAACUUCGGGAGAAGGCACGCUGAUAUGUAGGUGAAGUCCCUUGCGGAUGGAGCUGAAAUCAGUCGAAGAUACCAGCUGGCUGCAACUGUUUAUUAAAAACACAGCACUGUGCAAACACGAAAGUGGACGUAUACGGUGUGACGCCUGCCCGGUGCCGGAAGGUUAAUUGAUGGGGUCAGCGCAAGCGAAGCUCUUGAUCGAAGCCCCGGUAAACGGCGGCCGUAACUAUAACGGUCCUAAGGUAGCGAAAUUCCUUGUCGGGUAAGUUCCGACCUGCACGAAUGGCGUAAUGAUGGCCAGGCUGUCUCCACCCGAGACUCAGUGAAAUUGAACUCGCUGUGAAGAUGCAGUGUACCCGCGGCAAGACGGAAAGACCCCGUGAACCUUUACUAUAGCUUGACACUGAACAUUGAGCCUUGAUGUGUAGGAUAGGUGGGAGGCUUUGAAGUGUGGACGCCAGUCUGCAUGGAGCCGGCCUUGAAAUACCACCCUUU
rnacentral:rRNA from 1 species